rnacentral:rRNA from 1 species
CCUACGGGUGGCAGCAGUCGAGAAUCAUUCACAAUGGGGGAAACCCUGAUGGUGCGACGCCGCGUGGGGGAAUGAAGGUCUUCGGAUUGUAAACCCCUGUCAUGUGGGAGCAAAUUAAAAAGAUAGUACCACAAGAGGAAGAGACGGCUAACUCUGUGCCAGCAGCCGCGGUAAUACAGAGGUCUCAAGCGUUGUUCGGAAUCACUGGGCGUAAAGCGUGCGUAGGCUGUUUCGUAAGUCGUGUGUGAAAGGCGCGGGCUCAACCCGCGGACGGCCCAUGAUACUGCGAGACGAGAGUAAGGGAGGGGGAACCGGAAUUCGCGGUGUAGCAGUGAAAUGCGUAGAUAUCGAGAGGAACACUCGUGGCGAAGGCGGGUUCCUGGACAUUAACUGACGCUGAGGCACGAAGGCCAGGGGAGCGAAAGGGUUUAGAUACCCGAGUAGUC